rnacentral:rRNA from 1 species
GCGUCGAAGGCGUACCGUGAGGUAUUCUGGAGCGUCUGGAAAAGCAAAUGUAGGUAUAAGUAACGAUAAAGGGGGCGGGAAACCCCCUCGCCGAAAGACUAAGGUUUCCUGAUCAACGCUAAUCGGAUCAGGGUCAGUCGGGUCCUAAGGCUCAGCCGAACGGCGAUGCCGAUGGCAGAAACGGUUAAUAUUCCGUUACUACCUUCAGGAGUGACGUGGAGACGCAGUAGUGACAGUGCCGCCAUCUGACGGAAUAGAUGGUUGAAGGGUGUAGGAGUCGAUCAUGGCAGGCAAAUCCACCAUGAGAUCCGAACCUGAUAGUAUGCCGCGUCCUUCGGGACAAGGCAAUAGUGCGCGUAAGCAUGCUGCCGAGAAAAUCCGCUAAACUUAAUCCUGCAGGUACCCGUACCGCAAACGGACACACGUAGUCGGGAUGAAUAUUCUAAGGCGCUUGAGUGAUUCACGGUUAAGGAACUAGGCAAACUGACCCUGUAACUUCGGGAUAAAGGGUCCCUACCCUUUUAUGGGAGGGCGCAGAGAAUCGGUCCAGGCAACUGUUUAACAAAAACACAGGGCUGUGCCAAAUCGAAAGAUCCAGUAUACAGCCUGACACCUGCCCGGUGCUGGAAGGUUAAGAGGAGAUGUCAUCGAUAAGAGAAGCGUUGAAUUGAAGCCCCAGUAAACGGCGGCCGUAACUAUAACGGUCCUAAGGUAGCGAAAUUCCUUGUC